rnacentral:rRNA from 1 species
AUACCGAAUGAUAAAGUGUGGCGCAUGCCACGCUUUUGAAAGAUGGUUUCGGCUAUCGCUUACAGAUGGGCCCGCGGUGCAUUAGCUAGUUGGUAGGGUAAUGGCCUACCAAGGCAACGAUGCAUAGCCGACCUGAGAGGGUGAUCGGCCACACUGGGACUGAGACACGGCCCAGACUCCUACGGGAGGCAGCAGUAGGGAAUCUUCCGCAAUGGACGAAAGUCUGACGGAGCAACGCCGCGUGUAUGAAGAAGGUUUUCGGAUCGUAAAGUACUGUUGUUAGAGAAGAACAAGGAUAAGAGUAACUGCUUGUCCCUUGACGGUAUCUAACCAGAAAGCCACGGCUAACUACGUGCCAGCAGCCGCGGUAAUACGUAGGUGGCAAGCGUUGUCCGGAUUUAUUGGGCGUAAAGCGCGCGCAGGCGGUCUU